rnacentral:rRNA from 1 species
UACAGAGGGUGCGAGCGUUAAUCGGAGUUACUGGGCGUAAAGGGCGCGUAGGCGGAUGAUUAAGUGAAAUGUGAAAUCCCUGGGCUUAACCUAGGAACUGCAUGUCAUACUGGUUGUCUAGAGUAUUGUAGAGGGUAGUGGAAUUUCCGGUGUAGCGGUGAAAUGCGUAGAGAUCGGAAGGAACACCAGUGGCGAAGGCGGCUACCUGGACAAAUACUGACGCUGAGGCGCGAAAGCGUGGGGAGCAAACAGG